UACAGAGGGGGCAAGCGUUAUUCGGAAUUAUUGGGCGUAAAGGGCGCGUAGGCGGUCUGGCAAGUGGAAGGUGAAAUCCCUCGGCUUAACCGAGGAACUGCCCUCCAAACUGCUUGGCUUGAGUCCGGGAGAGGUGAGUGGAAUUCCCAGUGUAGCGGUGAAAUGCGUAGAUAUUGGGAGGAACACCAGUGGCGAAGGCGGCUCACUGGACCGGAACUGACGCUGAGGCGCGAAAGCGUGGGGAGCAAACAGG
rnacentral:rRNA from 1 species